UACGAAGGGGGCUAGCGUUGUUCGGAUUUACUGGGCGUAAAGGGCGCGUAGGCGGCUUUGCAAGUGACGGGUGAAAGCCCUCGGCUUAACCGAGGAACUGCCUGUCAGACUGUAAGGCUUGAGACCGGGAGAGGUGAGUGGAAUUCCCAGUGUAGCGGUGAAAUGCGUAGAUAUUGGGAGGAACACCAGUGGCGAAGGCGGCUCACUGGACCGGAACUGACGCUGAGGCGCGAAAGCGUGGGGAGCAAACAGG
rnacentral:rRNA from 1 species